rnacentral:rRNA from 1 species
UACAGGGGGUGCAAACGUUGCUCGGAAUCAUUGGGCGUAAAGCGCACGUAGGCGGUUUGUUAUGUCGGAUGUGAAAGCCCUUGGCUCAACUGAGGAAGUGCAUCCGAAACUGGCAAGCUAGAGUACUAAAGAGGGUCGCGGAAUUCCCGGUGUAGAGGUGAAAUUCGCAGAUAUCGGGAGGAACACCGGUGGCGAAGGCGGCGACCUGGGUAGAUACUGACGCUGAGGUGCGAAAGCGUGGGGAGCAAACAGG